CGGAGGUCAUACCUGAGAUUUUGUUGGCUCACGUUGGCGUCGUCCAACAGCGCCAAUAGAACCAUCUUCCCUGCACAAACACCGGGCACAGGGGUGUGUGUUUGCGUCAGCGUGUGUGUGUGUGUGUGUGUGCGUGUGUGCGUGCGUGCGUGCGUUGCUGGCGGUCACCCGAGUCUCCCAUGGCAUAGAGCAUGUAGCUGUCCACAUUGGCGUAGUUGUUGAAUCUUUCCCUUUUGAUCCAGGCCUUCAGUGAGCCGUCGCUCAUCUCUGAAACGUGUUUAGGUCAAGGGUGAGCGGUCAGGACACCAAGGUCAGAGGUCAGGUUCAUUCCCACCAUUGUAGCUGAAGUAACCGCCGUCUUUGAAGACCACCACAGCCGGGAGAGCGGGAAGCGACACGGCCUGACAACACCCGACGUGUACAAAUGACAUCAUUAAUGCCACACAAUUCAGUAACACACAAACGCUUGAGUACAACUUGUCUUCUACGGGGUACGGUGCUCGCUGUCGCUUCACUUCUAAUAAUUGUCUUCUACGGAGUACGGUGUUUGCUGUCACUUCAAUUCUGCUUGUCUUCUAUGGGAUACACUGUUUGCUGUCGCUUCACUUCUACUUGUUUUCUACGGGGUACGGUUUUCACUGUCGCUUCACUUCUAAUACUUGUCUUCUACGGAGUAAGGUGUUUGCUGUCGCUUCACUUCUACUUGUUUUCUACGGGGUAGAGCUUUGGACCUUGGGCAGGACUUCUCUGCUGGCAGAGAAGAAGAAUGUGGACACGAUCAUCUCCUGAGCCACGGCAGAGAACACACCCUGCAAACACAAACGUCAGAGGGACCAUGACAUCAGCAUGGCAUCAGCAUGACAUCAGCAUGGCAACACCAUGGCAACAGCAUGACAUCACCAUGACAUCGGCUCCUGAGCUGUGAACUCACAUGAAGAUGGCGGGAUAGCUGCGAACUUUGAACUCUUUAGCCAAGCCUGCGGGCAGUAGGUGCGUUACCAUGGAGACACAUUACCGAGACGAUGACGAGGAGGAGGACGAUGAAGCCCAUUCUCGCCUUUGACAUCGGCGCCUCAAGUUGCCCCUCGGCAUUGUGGGAGGACGCGUGCGGCUGCCGACGAUGAUGAUGAUGUCUGCGCGUGUGUCUCAGCAGCAACUGGCGGUCUGCGCUAGCGUAGUCGCACUGUUGGCACGGAAACGUUUCCCCCGUGUGAUGGCGACGUGCGUGAAGAUCCAAACUCUUCUUCUGGAUGCUGACGUGGCAAAAACCACACAGAAGGAUAUGCUGACGCACACUACAGCGGCCAACUUCGGGAAGUUCACUUGCAGAGCAAUUUGUCAGAAUUUCCAUAUUUUGAAAAUUGGGUCAGUUUACUAUGUAACAGAAUUGGGGGGGGGGGGGGGGGGGGGGG